rnacentral:misc_RNA from 1 species
AAAAAAAAAAAAAAUUUAGAGUCAACAUAUAAAAAGCAUUUUUGUAAUCAAGAUUUGAGGGUGUUUAGUUUGGCUUACAAGUCAGUCAAACCUACUAAUAAGUAGAAGGUCAUAAGUAAACUAGUGUUUGAUUAGACUUAUAAGUUAAAAAAACUACUUAAAAUAAGUCAUAAAUCAUAAUUUAACUGUCACGUGCUAACCAAUCUUAACACGUGUACAGAGAUAGUAUUGGAGAUAAAAAGCCAAAAGCUUAAUGAGAAGUUUCUCCCACCGCUAGCUUAGGGGUAGAUUUGUGGGCUUGGGCCCUUAUAGUUGCGGGCCUCUAGUUAUUGUCCUUUUAUUCUUUGUGAUUUGGGCUUGAUAUUCUAAUAGCAGGAACUCAUGAAUUUUCACUAGAAAGGAUGAUUUUAUUAAAUUUUAGAUUCCAACACUAUCAAUUUCCUUGAUAGCGAGAAAUGAACAUAAAUAAUAAGAGAGAUACCCAACAUUAGAACUAAGUCUUGUAAUGCUUUUUAUUUGCUAUGAAGACUAUAUAGAUCAUAAACACCCUCUUACUUUAGCCCAUUUUAAUGAUGAAUCAUGAAGUUGUACACUUUGUUGAUGUGAAUUUAGACUUGUUGAUUGCUCUUAUGAAUCAGAAUCAAGUUUGACACAAGUUGGGUUGCAAGGGUAAGGGCAAUCGAUCUUCCGGAAGUUGGCUCGAUCGUAAAACCAGUCUCCAACUGCCUUACCGAUUUUUGUAUUGGCCACUACUGGAGACUUAUCUGCUAACCAGACAGUAGCUGAUCCAGAUUGGCAGUGUGCAUAGCAAGAAUCUAUGAAAUAUCCAUUUGAAGGAUUGCUGCCAGCUCCAGUGUUCAAUGCACUUAAGAAUUGCAACCUGUAAUCUUGCACAGUUUUGAGUUGAUCAGCUGAGCACUUAGUUAGGUCAAGUUUGCAGCUCUUCCAGGCUCCUUUUGGAUCAGCAGCGCUAGGUGCCAUAAUAUUCUUUAACUGCCAGAAAUCAUAGCCUGAAUUUAUCACAAAUAGUGGAGUUUGCAUAGUCUGAGUUACGUAUUGUGGGAAGAAACACAAUUCUGGUUUAUUUUUUGAAGUGCAAGAGGGAGGAAGACUCUUUACUGACCCAUGUAAACCAACUAUUCCACCAAAGAAGUUUUCGAUUUCGAACCCACCAGCAACAUCCUUUCCAUGAAUAAAAUAACCAGCAUCUGAAACACAUUUUACUCUAGCAGUUGCAGGUAGGAGAGAUUUGAAUUUAUCACAAUGCAGAAUAGCAGCCAAUCCACCAGCCGAGCAGCCUGAAAGAAUAGCAUUCUGAGCAUUUUUCAUGCCUUUGGCCAAUAAAUCAUCGAUAACAGCCUGCCAAACUCUUUCUCCUCUGAAGUACAGUUGAGUUUUGGGAUCAACUGCUUCCACAUCACCAGUAAACGAUGACCCAUCACAGUACUUAAUCUUGAUUCUAUUCCAGUUGUAAAAAUCAGGAUUAGCUGCUUGCUUGCUCCCUAGUAUGCCAGAGAAACCCAUUGUCUUCUCCAUUUUCAAUGAUGAACCCUUGUAUGUGUUCUUUCUUUCCAGGCAGCUUGUGAUAUCAUCACACCAUCCUCCUCCCUCCAUGUGAACCAACCAGUUAUUAAUUCCAGAACCAGAUCCCCUUUGCAAGUGAUAAGCUGGUGGACUUCCAUCCAAACAUACAGCUCCUUUAGCUUUUGCAGUUUCAACAAUAGUAAUAGGAAUGCCACCUCCUUCUGCUCUGAUCAGCAAUAAUAAACAGACUAGAAAUAAAAGAUAACACCACUGAUGACUAAAUCUUGAAUCACCCAUUUCUUCAGACAAAAGGACAAGAGAGACGCUUGUUUUCGUCUUUAGAUAACGUGGGCAAACAUCCCAUUGCAUUUAUAGGAAAGAAGAAGAAGAAAGAAGAGCACAUGAACAUGCACGACCACCCCAUUUACCAGUGACUUUCAUAUGUUGGGUCAAAAACAUCAUGAGGCAGCACCGAGCAG